AUGGUGCUCUGGAUCACCAGGAACUGAACAUUAAUGCUGAAAACAAGGUGAAGGUCAGUAUGGCAGGCGCAAAGUGAGUGCCUGUGGCCACUGUUGCAGCCUCUAAGCCCGGGCUGAGGCCAAGAACAGCUCGUGGGGACAUCGGUAACAGAGUCAGUGAAGAGCCACAGGCCAAACUGCCCCUGAAAAAGGAAGCAAAAACUUUAGCUGCUGGAAAAGUUAUUGCUAAAAAACUACCAAAACCUCUGGAAAAGACACCUGUACCUGCGCUGAAGCCCCAGCUGGAGCCGGAUCUGGAGCCAGAGCCAGAACCCGAGCCUGUUAAAGAACAGAAACUUCCCCCUGAGCCUAUUUUGGUUGAUACUCCCUCUCCAAGCCCCAUGGAAACACCUGGCUGUGCCCCUGCAGGAGAAUAUGUGUGUCAGGCUUUCUCUGAUGUAAUUCUUACAGUGAGUGAUGUGGAUGCAGAAGAUGGAGAGGAUCCAAACCUUUGUAGUGAAGAUGUAAAAGAUAUCUAUGCUUAUCUGAGACAACUUGAGGAAGAGCAAGCAGUCAGACCAAAAUACCUACUGGGUCAUGAAGUGACUGGAAACAUGAGAGCCAUCCUAAUUGACUGGCUAGUGCAGGUUCAAAUGAAAUUCAGGUUACUCCAGGAGAUCAUGUACAUGACUGUUUCCAUUAUUGAUCGGUUCAUGCAGGAUAAUUGUGUGCCCGAGAAGAUGCUGCAGCUGGUUGGUGUCACUGCCAUGUUUAUUGCAAGCAAAUACGAGGAAAUGUACCCUCCAGAAAUUGGUGACUUUGCCUUUGUGACUGACAACACUUACACUAAGUACCAAAUCAGACAGAUGGAAAUGAAGAUUCUAAGAGCUUUAAAUUUUAGUCUGGGUCGCCCUCUACCCCUGCGUUCCCUUCGGAGAGCAUCUAAGAUUGGAGAGGUUGAUGUUGAGCUACAUACUUUGGCCAAGUAUCUGAUGGAACUAACUAUGUUGAACUACCAUAUGGUGCACUUUCCUCCUUCUCAGGUUGCAGCGGGAGCUUUUUGCUUAGCACUGAAAAUUCUUAAUAAUGGUGAAUGGACACCAACUCUACAGCAUUACCUGUCAUACACUGAAGAAUCCCUUCUUGUUGUUAUGCAACACCUGGCUAAGAAUAUAGUCAUGGUGAAUCGUGGGCUUACAAAGCACAUGACUAUCAAGAACAAGUAUGCCGCGUCUAAGCACACUAAGAUCAGCACUCUAGCACAGCUGAAUUCUGCACUAGUUCAAGAUUUAGCCAAGGCUGUGGCAAAGGUGUAA